UGUGGUUUAAUUCGAAGCAACGCGAAGAACCUUACCAGGCCUUGACAUGCAGAGAACUUUCCAGAGAUGGAUUGGUGCCUUCGGGAACUCUGACACAGGUGCUGCAUGGUUGUCGUCAGCUCGUGCCGUGAGGUGUCGGGUUAAGUCCCAUAACGAGCGCAACCCCUAUCAUUAGUUGCCAUCAGGUCAAGCUGGGGACUCUAAUGAAACUGCCUACGCAAGUAGUGAGGAAGGUGGGGAUGACGUCAAAUCAUCAUGGCCCUUACGGCCUGGGCUACACACGUGCUACAAUGGUCGGUACAAAGGGUUGCCAAGCCGCGAGGUGGAGCUAAUCCCAUAAAACCGAUCGUAGUCCGGAUCGCAGUCUGCAACUCGACUGCGUGAAGUCGGAAUCGCUAGUAAUCGUGAAUCAGAAUGUCACGGUGAAUACGUUCCCGGGCCUU
rnacentral:rRNA from 1 species